rnacentral:lncRNA from 1 species
CCUAGCGAUAUCGAAAAACUAUUAUAAAAAGUGUCCUAGUUCAGUGAAAAUGUACGUCAUACUUAUUUCCUAAACAAAUAAAUAAACAAACAUUAAUUAACAUACAACACACUACCAAAGGCCAGAGACUCCUUACUUGUAUGAUUUUGUAAAAAAAUGCAUCUUUUUAAAAUAGUCGAAAACAAAAUUGUCUGUCCAAUGGAAAAGUCGAAGCCCAAAAAAGAUGAACAGUGCAUUAUAGAAACUUUACAUAGAAGCUGGUUGCAAAAGUUGACGACAAGAUCUAUUUUAUAACUUGAGUAUGGCCUAAUACUAUUAACCUGAAAUAAAUAUAUUUAUAGCAAUUCCCUUGAUACGAAAGAUCUACAUGUUGCCUUGGGCUUUUUUUUUUCUUUUUUUUUUUGCUCUUUGGUUGGGUUUUUGUCUCAAUGACAAUUCAAUUUUCAUUCUUAUCAUAGAUAUAACUGCAUGUUAAAAUAAGAAUAUGUAGUGUGAUAGACAAUCAGACACAUUCUUUCCAGGGACCAACAGGCGUUAUCAAGCUAUAGGUCCCCGUAUGGCCUUCGACCAUUAGCAAAAUACACACUUUAUAGAAUGAAAGCUCCAAGAGGUCUUGGCAUGAAAAAAACAAACAUAAAAGAUGAGCGAGAAAAAAAAAUAGGGAUACCGCAUGGAAAUUGGAAAAUGGUCCGCAACAUUAAUUUAGUCAACUCACUUAGUUGAAAUUAAAGACCUGGCGAAUUUUAGCCUUUUGCAAUGGAUGUGAUGUAUGUUUAAAAAAAAAUCAUGGUUUGUUUGGACAUUUUUAUAAAUCAAGUCUUGGUUUUAAAUUAUUUGCAAGUAAGUUUUAAGUCAUGAACAAAUAAUCACUCACAGAAAGACGUCAAAUCCAUCAACAAAAGAAAAAAAUUAAUAGACGACCGACAACGCACAGAAUAUCAUGUAUGUGUUCCGGACCAUAUGAGUAUUUGGACCAUACGCAUAUAUCAUGACCAUAAGGGUAUACUAAUAUGGUCCAACCAUACACGUAUGGUCCGACCGUACGCGAAUGACGGGUAUGGUCAUGCGCGUAUGGUCCAAAUACUCAUAAGGUCCGGAACAUAUUUUAUUUGCGAUCACAAAUGCACGAAGACGUCCAUUUCUAUGUAAAUUGGGUCGAUUUUUUUAUAUAGAUAAGAUGAAUGCGUUUCUGUU